GCGAUUAACGGUGAACUGCGAAUGGCUCAUUAAAUCAGUUAUCGUUUAUUUGAUAGUACCUUACUACAUGGAUACCUGUGGUAAUUCUAGAGCUAAUACAUGCUGAAAACCCCAACUUCGGAAGGGGUGUAUUUAUUAGAUAAAAAACCAAUGCCCUUCGGGGCUCCUUGGUGAUUCAUAAUAACUUAACGAAUCGCAUGGCCUUGCGCCGGCGAUGGUUCAUUCAAAUUUCUGCCCUAUCAACUUUCGAUGGUAGGAUAGUGGCCUACCAUGGUGGCAACGGGUAACGGGGAAUUAGGGUUCGAUUCCGGAGAGGGAGCCUGAGAAACGGCUACCACAUCCAAGGAAGGCAGCAGGCGCGCAAAUUACCCAAUCCCGACACGGGGAGGUAGUGACAAUAAAUACUGAUACGGGGCUCUUUCGGGUCUCGUAAUUGGAAUGAGUACAAUUUAAACCCCUUAACGAGGAACAAUUGGAGGGCAAGUCUGGUGCCAGCAGCCGCGGUAAUUCCAGCUCCAAUAGCGUAUAUUAAAGUUGUUGCAGUUAAAAAGCUCGUAGUUGAACCUUGGGUCUGGCUGGCCGGUCCGCCUCACCGCGAGUACUGGUCCGGCUGGA
rnacentral:rRNA from 1 species